GAGAAACCUUGGCAAGCCAGUAGAGUUUGCGGGACAAUACUAUAAAGAUGGAACUGAUGAGAUUAGUUUUUUGAAUAUCACCGGUUUCCGUGAUUUCCCGUUAGGUGAUUUGCCAAUGUUGCAGGUGUUAAGGUUAACUUCAGAGAAUG